GAUGAACGCUGGCGGCGUGCCUAAUACAUGCAAGUCGAGCGAACGGACGAGAAGCUUGCUUCUCUGAUGUUAGCGGCGGACGGGUGAGUAACACGUGGAUAACCUACCUAUAAGACUGGGAUAACUUCGGGAAACCGUAGCUAAUACCGGAUAAUAUUUUGAACCGCAUGGUUCAAAAGUGAAAGACGGUCUUGCUGUCACUUAUAGAUGGAUCCGCGCUGCAUUAGCUAGUUGGUAAGGUAACGGCUUACCAAGGCAACGAUGCAUAGCCGACCUGAGAGGGUGAUCGGCCUCACUGGAACUGAGACACGGUCCAGACUCCUACGGGAGGCAGCAGUAGGGAAUCUUCCGCAAUGGGCGAAAGCCUGACGGAGCAACGCCGCGUGAGUGAUGAAGGUCUUCGGAUCGUAAAACUCUGUUAUUAGGGAAGAACAUAUGUGUAAGUAACUGUGCACAUCUUGACGGUACCUAAUCAGAAAGCCACGGCUAACUACGUG
rnacentral:rRNA from 1 species